AUUGAACGCUGGCGGCAUGCCUUACACAUGCAAGUCGAACGGCAGCGGGGGAGAAGCUUGCUUUUCCUGCCGGCGAGUGGCGAACGGGUGAGUAAUACAUCGGAACGUGCCCUGUAGUGGGGGAUAACUAGUCGAAAGAUUAGCUAAUACCGCAUACGACCUGAGGGUGAAAGUGGGGGACCGCAAGGCCUCAUGCUAUAGGAGCGGCCGAUGUCUGAUUAGCUAGUUGGUGGGGUAAAGGCCUACCAAGGCGACGAUCAGUAGCUGGUCUGAGAGGACGAUAAGCCACACUGGGACGGAGACACGGCCCAGACUCCUACGGGAGGCAGCAGUGGGGAAUUUUGGACAAUGGGCGAAAGCCUGAUCCAGCAAUGCCGCGUGUGUGAAGAAGGCCUUCGGGUUGUAAAGCACUUUUGUCCGGAAAGAAAUGGCUCUGGUUAAUACCUGGGGUCGAUGACGGUACCGGAAGAAUAAGGACCGGCUAGCUACGUGCCAGCCGCCGCGGUAA
rnacentral:rRNA from 1 species